rnacentral:rRNA from 1 species
AUUGAACGCUGGCGGCAUGCUUUACACAUGCAAGUCGAACGGUAACAGGCCGCAAGGUGCUGACGAGUGGCGAACGGGUGAGUAAUGCAUCGGAACGUGCCCAGUCGUGGGGGAUAACGCAGCGAAAGCUGCGCUAAUACCGCAUACGAUCUAUGGAUGAAAGCGGGGGACCGUAAGGCCUCGCGCGAUUGGAGCGGCCGAUGUCAGAUUAGGUAGUUGGUGGGGUAAAGGCUCACCAAGCCAACGAUCUGUAGCUGGUCUGAGAGGACGACCAGCCACACUGGGACUGAGACACGGCCCAGACUCCUACGGGAGGCAGCAGUGGGGAAUUUUGGACAAUGGACGCAAGUCUGAUCCAGCCAUGCCGCGUGCGGGAAGAAGGCCUUCGGGUUGUAAACCGCUUUUGUCAGGGAAGAAAAGGUUCUGGUUAAUACCUGGGACUCAUGACGGUACCUGAAGAAUAAGCACCGGCUAACUACGUGCCAGCAGCCGCAGUAACAC